rnacentral:rRNA from 1 species
UACGUAGGGGGCAAGCGUUGUCCGGAUUUAUUGGGCGUAAAGAGCUCGUAGGUGGUUCGGUAAGUCGGAUGUGAAAUCUCCAGGCUCAACCUGGGAACUGCAUCCGAAACUGCCUUGCUAGAGUAUGGGAGAGGGAAGUGGAAUUUCCGGUGUAGCGGUGAAAUGCGUAGAUAUCGGAAGGAACAUCAGUGGCGAAGGCGACUUCCUGGACCAAUACUGACGCUCAGGUGCGAAAGCGUGGGGAGCAAACAGG